AUGGUGAGUCCAAUACUCAUCCUGAGGAUAAUAAGGCUCUCUAAGAAAUUUACUUCGCAUGAUAAACUAAAUACAACAAGAGAUGGUUAUAUAACACAAUUCUUUAGACGAUCAUUAAUGUUGUCAGGAAAUAUAGAAAUAUGGGAGGUUUCAGCUUUUGAGAAUUUCGAACCUCUUCACUUGGAGACACUAAACAAAAAGAAGUUCUUCUCGGAAACUUUGAAGAACACUUCACUUCUGCGGGCAUGA